CUUAUUACCAUGCAGUCGAACGAGAAUCCUCGGGUUAGCAAUCAUGUGAUGGUCCUAGCGGCGCACGGGUGAGUAACACGUGGGUAACCUGCCCUUGAGACCGGGAUACCCCUUCGAAAGGGGGGCUAAUACCGGAUACGUUCCCUGGGUCGAAAGAUCUGAGGAAGAAAGGUGGCGCAAGCUGCCGCUCUUGGAGGGGCUCGCGGCCUAUCAGCUAGUUGGCGGGGUAACGGCCCACCAAGGCUAUGACGGGUAGCUGGUCUGAGAGGACGACCAGCCACACGGGGACUGAGACACGGCCCCGACUCCUACGGGAGGCAGCAGUGGG
rnacentral:rRNA from 1 species